ACAUCACCUCUAGCAUUACUAGUAUUAGAGGCAAUGCCUGCCCAGUGACACCAGUUUAACGGCCGCGGUAUUCUGACCGUGCAAAGGUAGCAUAAUCACUUGUUCUCCAAAUAAGGACUUGUAUGAAUGGCCACACGAGGGUUUUACUGUCUCUUACUUCCAAUCAGUGAAAUUGACCUUCCCGUGAAGAGGCGGGAAUAAAAAAAUAAGACGAGAAGACCCUAUGGAGCUUUAAUUAACUACUCCAAAAGUUAAACAAUUCAACCACAAAGGGAUAAAACAUAACUUAACAUGGACUAGCAAUUUCGGUUGGGGUGACCUCGGAGUACAAAAAACCCUCCGAGUGAUUUUAAUCUAGACAAACCAGUCAAAAUAACCAUAACAUCACUUAUUGAUCCAAAAUUUUGAUCAACGGAACAAGUUACCCUAGGGAUAACAGCGCAAUCCUAUUCUAGAGUUCCUAUCGACAAUAGGGUUUACGACCUCGAUGUUGGAUCAGGACACCCAAAUGGUGCAACCGCUAUUAAAGGUUCGUUUGUUCAACGAUUAAAGUCCUACAUGAU
rnacentral:rRNA from 1 species